UACGUAGGGGGCAAGCGUUGUCCGGAUUUAUUGGGCGUAAAGAGCUCGUAGGCGGCUCAGUAAGUCGGGUGUGAAAACUCCAGGCUCAACCUGGAGACGCCACCUGAUACUGCUGUGGCUAGAGUCCGGUAGGGGAGCAUGGAAUUCCUGGUGUAGCGGUGAAAUGCGCAGAUAUCAGGAGGAACACCGGUGGCGAAGGCGGCAUCCUGGACCAACACUGACGCUGAGGAGCGAAAGCCAGGGAGCAAACGGG
rnacentral:rRNA from 1 species